UACAAAGGAAGUUGACGGGGCCCGCACAAGCGGUGGAGUAUGUGGUUUAAUUCGAUGCAACGCGAAGAACCUUACCUGGUCUUGACAUCCCGGAGACCCUUAGGAAACUAGGGGGUGCUUCCAUCUGGAAGAAUCUGGAGACAGGUGCUGCAUGGCUGUCGUCAGCUCGUGUCGUGAGAUGUUGGGUUAAGUCCCGCAACGAGCGCAACCCUUGCCUUUAGUUGCCAGCAGUUCGGCUGGGCACUCUAAAGGGACUGCCGGUGUUAAACCGGAGGAAGGUGGGGAUGACGUCAAGUCCUCAUGGCCUUUAUGACCAGGGCUACACACGUACUACAAUGGCCGAUACAAAGGGCAGCGACACUGCGAGGUGAAGCCAAUCCCGUAAAAUCGGUCUCAGUCCGGAUUGGAGUCUGCAACUCGACUCCAUGAAGUUGGAAUCGCUAGUAAUCGUGGAUCAGCAUGCCACGGUGAAUACGUUCCCGGGCCUU
rnacentral:rRNA from 1 species